rnacentral:lncRNA from 1 species
CGGCAUCAGAGGUCCAGCAUCACGCGGCAUAUUGUGGCUGAGCCAGGCCUGAGCUAGGGUUUCCUGACUCCAACUGGGGACCUGCUCCCAGCUCUUGGGGCUGCUCUGCUCCCAGCAUUGACCAGCUGUUGUUCUGUUUAGAUUCUAAACCUUCAGAGCCCACAGACAGGAUCUCCUUUAGGGGGAUUCACUUCUCCAUAGCAGUGAGCAUGGUCUUUGGGUGCAGCUAAUUCAGAGGACACUUGAGC